CAUUUUCAUUGCAUAUUUAGAUCAAUCAAAUCUUGACCAGAACCUUCACACAAUCUGGCUCCUUCAGCAGCUCAAAUGCUUUGUUUAUAUCUUCUAGCUCAACUUCAUGUGUCAAGAGUUCAUCAAGAUGGAUUUCCUACGGAAGAAACAAA